GAUGAACGCUGGCGGCGUGCCUAAUACAUGCAAGUCGAGCGAACGGACGAGAAGCUUGCUUCUCUGAUGUUAGCGGCGGACGGGUGAGUAACACGUGGAUAACCUACCUAUAAGACUGGGAUAACUUCGGGAAACCGGAGCUAAUACCGGAUGAUAUUUUGAACCGCAUGGUUCAAAAGUGAAAGACGGUCUUGCUGUCACUUAUAGAUGGAUCCGCGCUGCAUUAGCUAGUUGGUAAGGUAACGGCUUACCAAGGCAACGAUGCAUAGCCGACCUGAGAGGGUGAGCGGCCACACUGGAACUGAGACACGGUCCAGACUCCUACGGGAGGCAGCAGUAGGGAAUCUUCCGCAAUGGGCGAAAGCCUGACGGAGCAACGCCGCGUGAGUGAUGAAGGUCUUCGGAUCGUAAAACUCUGUUAUUAGGGAAGAACAUAUGUGUAAGUAACUGUGCACAUCUUGACGGUACCUAAACAAAAAGCCACGGCUAACUACGUG
rnacentral:rRNA from 1 species